GCAGGUAUGACGCGGUAUGUUGUUUACUUAAAAGGUAGUUCUUAUAAUUCGUAAUGCGAAGGUCGUAGGUUCGACUCCUAUUAUCGGCACCA
rnacentral:tRNA from 1 species